AUCAACUGCUCUGUCAUCUGCAAGGUGGCCGCCGCCGGGGAUUCGGAUGGACGUGGAGCUGUCGGCCGCCGGCGAGCGAGGACGUGCAUGUGAGGCGCGUGGUGUGGUGCAGCGGUCUCCUCCAUGCCGUCGUCGAGCUCCCUGCGACGCCCUCUUGUCUCCUCCACACAUGUCUGCCCCUGACAUCUCCCUCCCUCUCAAUCUCUUCUUUCUGUUGUUUUUGUUCUCAAUCAACUACAAGUACUGAGACGUGUGUUGUUUUUCAAAUCAAUCCUGCUCUUCCUGGUUGGAACUGUUGACACACACUGCAUGCUCAUAGGCUCAUGACGUUCUGACGGAAAAACACCAAACAUUGUGUAGAAAUGCCUUGGGGGGAUAACACAGAUUUGUUCUCCGUUCAUGUCAAUGCAUCCUAUUAUUUCAUCCCUGUACUGAUAUUGCACAUCUCCCUCUAAUACUGAUUUUUUUUGUGUUGUUUUGCAGCUAGCUUCGGCAGGUUUGUUAGGCUAAUAUAAAGUAGGGAGCUUUCCUACAUAAUAAUACAAAGAUGAUGCUGAAGGAUGUUUUGCAACUAGCAAGAUAAUUUGUUUAGAAGCUGAUUGUCAAAUUUCUUAAAAAGAUACAUGGUUGUUGUGUCCUAUCAGACAAUAUAAAACUUCUGCCAUGAUAUCUCCUUAUGCAGUUUCAAGGUCACAUGGAUGCUGAUAGCUCUCAGGUGUAUGGCGUAUUUGUUGCUGGUUUAUACGAUGAAGGAUUCUGAAUUGAUGCAUAUAUUGUCUCGAAAGUAACUAGGCUCCAAAGUGGAGACUAAGAAGAGGGUUUCUGCUGCUAUUGUUAAAUCUUAAAGAAAUAUCCCUUCCUGGUUCAGAGGUUUACAAGUCCGCUUCUUCAAAUAUGGAAAUGAUUUAUUUGCAAACUUCAAUGCAAAAUGAACAUGCCCCUAGAGGUUAUGCAGUCUGAUGUCCAGAAGGCUCAAGAUACAAGGGCAAGCUGAAAGCUUGAUCUUCCCAAGGUGUGCCUGCAAGUAUGGGUCUGUUUCUUUUUCUCCGUGUUUACACCUCUCUUUCUCCAAGGCUGGUGAUUCGAUUGCAAUAGAGGAGCCUGCUACAAUCAUCCAGGGUCCAGGGCGAUUACAUGCCCAUCACCCGCGGCGGCGAGAAGCACAUGCAUACGAUGAGCUCCGUGUCAAGAUGAUGAACCAGCACCAGUUGGGAGCCCGGGUGAAGAGGUUGUCGAUGCGGAGAAAUAGGAGAAGUGAUUACAUGUUUUAUGACAGCUAAUGGAUGAUGUUAUCUUAGUUUGUGAAUUUUUGUUUUGGUCGACUCAGAAACCUUGUUUGAUGUCCGAAGAUCCCUUUU